AGCGACGCGAACACCUUGUCCGGAUAGACGCUGUCCAUCUGUUUUAACACCGCCCUGGUGUUGUAGGAUAUAUCUAGGUGGGUCAGUAAAGGGUUCCUGUGAAAGCGGAUACAUUACAAGAUCGAGCGCAGACAAGGUGGACGACAGUCAGGUGGACAAGAAACGAUGUUUCAUCAACAACGCGUACUGUCCAGAGCUGUACCCGUGGGGACACAAGUAAAACUGUGCACAUUCGUAGAAAGUAAACACUCUUGAAAUAGAAACACGACACAGAUUGACAUUUAUUGUUUAAACCGGAACGAAAGGUUAACAUACAUGAUCUUCCGCGUGAGUUAUAUACAUUGUCCGCCUACUUUUAUCCUGUGACGGGCGGUGAAGAUGGAACGGAAGUCGCUAGUUGAGACAAAUUACUACGGACCUGUGUCUAUGAACACAAUGUGCGGAGAGUCAAAUAAAUCUCGUGUAUUUUC